CCAUACCUGGUAUGUGCUGAACAGCACUGUUGUGCAGCAGAAGCAGCUGCCAGACAUAGAAAGCCACCCCAAAAACACUGCAAGUUUAACAGAUCAGAGAUAAGGCCAUCUGGGGCCAGGAUGGACAGCACAACGCUGCAGUUAAAUGUCAGCCCACAAGGCUGUAACUGAAACAAAGCUGAACUCAAACAAAUUGGUAGCACUACAGUAAGAUGCUCCCCUGGUACCUUUGGGCUUCUCACUUCUGGCACAACUGAGCAGUGAGGCCACCCUUGUGCAUAACAUUCAGUCACCUGCCCUGAACUUUCCAACUACCUACACAAGAAUGGUGAAGAGAAACUCAGUUAAAAAAUGGAUUCUCUGCAUUUUGAACACCGACAGAUGUUCUUUUAUUUACCAUACACAGAAUUCAGAAUAUGUGUUCAGCUGCACCAUGACAGAAAUGACAUCAAAAGGUAAACUCAGAUGUUACAGCUGUAGAAAAAGAUAAAUCCUAUGGUAAAGAAGCCGGAGACCUGCAAACCCAUUCAGAGCCUCAUGCCACUACCAGAGCUCAUACCGCUACUGGAGGCACAACUUCUUUUAUUCUGCUCAGUACAUGGGAGUAAUAAAUCUAUAAAAUACCAGUAGUUGCUCUCUGUGACAGAGUCUGGACUCAAGAACCAGCCAGGAAGGUAACUGAUAAGAUGCAAACUAAUAUUCUUUACAAUGUUGUUCUCAACAAGAUUUGUAAGAUCCACAAAAAAGGGACUUAAGCACAUUUUGAAAUCAUGCAGAUAAUCCCACAGUUUAAUAUGGACAAUGUGACAGCAAAGAGAUUUUUAGCAGAAAGAUAAUUGUCAAUGCAAAAGAAAUCAAGCUGAGUCAAAGAUAAAUGCAUAAAUUUCUCCAACAAGCAGCUUUAUCACAGCAGGAACUGCACUCAGCAUCAUUCUGCGCCCACGAUCCAGGGCUGUUCCCACAGCACAGCUCCCUCAGGCUUGGCAGGGAUGCUUCGUGCUGGACAAGCAGACAAAACACAGCAGAGCACCCAUACUUGUUAAGAACAUACUCGA